CAGAGGACUUAAACUUUUUUGAGGUUCAAGGUUGUGGCUCUUUGACAUAUGUUAGAUGGAGGACUUCCCUGAGCCACAUUCUACCAAGCACCUUACUUUGGCUGCCAUCCAGGCUCCCGAAUCCCUGAGAGACAAGGGGAAGUCCUAUCUGGUGGAGAUAUUUCCGAUC
rnacentral:lncRNA from 1 species